GAAUGGUCGGGCUGACCAGCCAUGCAAGUCGAACGAUGAACCACUUCGGUGGGGAUUAGUGGCGAACGGGUGAGUAACACGUGGGCAAUCUGCCCUGCACUCUGGGACAAGCCCUGGAAACGGGGUCUAAUACCGGAUAUUGACCUUCACGGGCAUCUGUGAGGUUCGAAAGCUCCGGCGGUGCAGGAUGAGCCCGCGGCCUAUCAGCUUGUUGGUGAGGUAAUGGCUCACCAAGGCGACGACGGGUAGCCGGCCUGAGAGGGCGACCGGCCACACUGGGACUGAGACACGGCCCAGACUCCUACGGGAGGCAGCAGUGGGGAAUAUUGCACAAUGGGCGAAAGCCUGAUGCAGCGACGCCGCGUGAGGGAUGACGGCCUUCGGGUUGUAAACCUCUUUCAGCAGGGAAGAAGCGAAAGUGACGGUACCUGCAGAAGAAGCGCCGGCUAACUACGUGCCAGCAGCCGCGGUAAUACGUAGGGCGCAAGCGUUGUCCGGAAUUAUUGGGCGUAAAGAGCUCGUAGGCGGCUUGUCACGUCGGUUGUGAAAGCCCGGGGCUUAACCCCGGGUCUGCAGUCGAUACGGGCAGGCUAGAGUUCGGUAGGGGAGAUCGGAAUUCCUGGUGUAGCGGUGAAAUGCGCAGAUAUCAGGAGGAACACCGGUGGCGAAGGCGGAUCUCUGGGCCGAUACUGACGCUGAGGAGCGAAAGCGUGGGGAGCGAACAGGAUUAGAUACCCUGGUAGUCCACGCCGUAAACGGUGGGCACUAGGUGUGGGCAACAUUCCACGUUGUCCGUGCCGCAGCUAACGCAUUAAGUGCCCCGCCUGGGGAGUACGGCCGCAAGGCUAAAACUCAAAGGAAUUUGACGGGGGCCCGCACAAGCGGCGGAGCAUGUGGCUUAAUUCGACGCAACGCGAAGAACCUUACCAAGGCUUGACAUACACCGGAAACGG
rnacentral:rRNA from 1 species